rnacentral:rRNA from 1 species
GACGAACGCUGGCGGCGUGCUUAACACAUGCAAGUCGAACGAUGAACCCGGAGCUUGCUCCGGCGGAUUAGUGGCGAACGGGUGAGUAACACGUGAGUAACCUGCCCUUGACUCUGGGAUAACUGCUAGAAAUGGUAGCUAAUACCGGAUACGACCCUCGGCGGCAUCGCCAGGGGGUGGAAAGAAUUUCGGUCAAGGAUGGACUCGCGGCCUAUCAGCUAGUUGGUGAGGUAACGGCUCACCAAGGCGACGACGGGUAGCCGGUCUGAGAGGGUGACCGGCCACACUGGGACUGAGACACGGCCCAGACUCCUACGGGAGGCAGCAGUGGGGAAUAUUGCACAAUGGGCGCAAGCCUGAUGCAGCAACGCCGCGUGAGGGAUGACGGCCUCGG